rnacentral:rRNA from 1 species
AACGAACGCUGGCGGCAUGCCUAACACAUGCAAGUCGAACGGCAGCACGGACUUCGGUCUGGUGGCGAGUGGCGAACGGGUGAGUAAUGUAUCGGAACGUGCCCAGUCGUGGGGGAUAACGUAGUGAAAAUUACGCUAAUACCGCAUACGAUCUAUGGAUGAAAGCGGGGGAUCGCAAGACCUCGCGCGAUUGGAGCGGCCGAUAUCUGAUUAGCUAGUUGGUGGGGUAAAAGCCUACCAAGGCAACGAUCAGUAGCUGGUCUGAGAGGACGACCAGCCACACUGGGACUGAGAAAAGGCCCAGGCUCCUACGGGAGGCAGCAGUGGGGAAUUUUGGACAAUGGGCGAAAGCCUGAUCCAGCCAUUCCGCGUGCAGGAUGAAGGCCCUUGGGUUGUAAACUGCUUUUGUACAGAACGAAAAGGUUUCUACUAAUACUAGGAGCUCAUGACGGUACUGUAAGAAUAAGCACCGGCUAACUACGUGCCAGCAGCCGCCGUAA